GACGAACGCUGGCGGCGUGCUUAACACAUGCAAGUCGAACGGGAAGGCCCUGCUUUUGUGGGGUGCUCGAGUGGCGAACGGGUGAGUAACACGUGAGUAACCUGCCCUUGACUUUGGGAUAACUUCAGGAAACUGGGGCUAAUACCGGAUAGGAGCUCCUGCUGCAUGGUGGGGGUUGGAAAGUUUCGGCGGUUGGGGAUGGACUCGCGGCUUAUCAGCUUGUUGGUGGGGUAGUGGCUUACCAAGGCUUUGACGGGUAGCCGGCCUGAGAGGGUGACCGGCCACAUUGGGACUGAGAUACGGCCCAGACGCCUACGGGAGGCAGCAGUGGGGAAUAUUGCACAAUGGGCGGAAGCCUGAUGCAGCAACGCCGCGUGCGGGAUGACGGCCUUCGGGUUGUAAACCGCUUUCGCCUGUGACGAAGCGUGAGUGACGGUAAUGGGUAAAGAAGCACCGGCUAACUACGUG
rnacentral:rRNA from 1 species